UGAUAAUAUAUUAUUUAAAAAUUAUGCAAAGAAUGCUUUUAGUAUGAUUUGCAAAUCACAAAAUCAUUUUUGUUUAAUUUGAAAAAAUAAUUUUCAUUUAUUUAUUUAUUUUUGAUAUUUUGAUUCUACAAAUAUGGCUUGGCUUGCCCUCUAAGCAAAUAAAUCAACAUGUCACGAUCCAACCAGAUCUAAACAUCUAACGACUACGUUUUAUCCUCCAUCAAAAUAAAUCAACAUUUUUCUUAUAUAAAAAAAUUAAUUUCUUUCCCCACCUUCAAAUUAAAAAAAACAAAAAAACACUAAUAUUUUCUUUUUAAUUUUUUCGUCUACGGUUUUCAGUCGAAGGAAGAAAGAAAAGAAAAGGAGUUCUCAAACGUUUUUGUUCGAUCACUUUAUUUCUCUCUCUAGGGUUUUCGUUUUGGAAAUUUGAUAAGAUGUUGUUGAGGCCAAACGCCAGGACGGAGGUUCGGAGGAACAGGUACAAGGUGGCGGUGGACGCGGAGGAAGGGAGGCGGAGGAGGGAGGAUAACAUGGUGGAGAUUAGGAAGAACCGCCGUGAAGAGAGCUUGCAGAAGAAGCGACGCGAAGGACUCCAAGCUCAGCCAAUGCCUGCUUCUCUUCACCCCUCUGCUGUUGAAAAAAAGUUGGAAUAUUUGCCAGCCAUGGUUGCUGCUGUCUGGACUGAUGACAGUAAUAUGCAGCUUGAGGCAACCACUCAGUUUAGGAAAUUGCUUUCAAUUGAACGCAGCCCACCCAUUGAGGAAGUGAUUCAAGCUGGUGUUGUUCCUCGCUUUGUUGAGUUCCUUAUGAGGGAAGAUUUCCCACAGCUUCAGUUUGAGGCAGCCUGGGCCCUCACAAAUAUUGCUUCUGGGACAUCGGAGAACACGAAGGUGGUAAUUGAUCAUGGGGCUGUUCCCAUAUUUGUGAAGUUACUUGGCUCCCCAAGUGAUGAUGUUCGCGAGCAGGCUGUAUGGGCAUUGGGAAAUGUUGCCGGUGAUUCUCCUAGAUGUCGUGAUCUUGUCCUUGGCCAUGGUGCUUUGCUUCCUUUGUUGGCUCAAUUGAAUGAGCAUGCUAAACUUUCUAUGCUGAGAAAUGCUACAUGGACACUCUCAAAUUUUUGUCGGGGCAAGCCCCCACCACCCUUUGAUCAGGUUAAGCCUGCACUUCCUGCAUUGGCACGUCUCAUUCAUUCAAAGGACGAAGAAGUCUUAACUGAUGCAUGUUGGGCGCUCUCAUAUCUUUCCGAUGGUACAAAUGACAAAAUCCAAGCUGUUAUAGAAGCGGGUGUAUGUGGGCGUCUGGUGGAUCUUUUGCUGCAUCUGUCUCCUUCAGUGCUAAUCCCUGCUCUUCGCACCAUUGGAAAUAUUGUCACAGGAGAUGAUGUGCAAACCCAGUUUUCUCACUCAAACAACAUUGAUGGCCCUCCUCUUAUAGUAAAAUGGAUGCAAGAUUUUUGUAUUAUCAAUCAUCAAGCUUUGCCUUGCCUUUCGAACCUGUUGAUGAAUAAUUUUAAAAAGAGCAUCAAGAAGGAAGCUUGUUGGAUGAUCUCCAAUAUCACAGCUGGAAGUAAGGAGCAGAUACAGGCUGUGAUUGAAGCUAAUAUUAUUGCUCCACUGGUUCAUCUGCUUCAAAAUGCUGAAUUUGAUAUUAAGAAAGAGGCUGCCUGGGCCAUCUCAAAUGCUACAUCUGGUGGGACUCAUGAUCAGAUCAAGUUCCUUGUAAGUCAAGGUUGUAUCAAGCCAUUGUGUGAUCUUCUUAACUGUCCUGAUCUAAGGAUAGUUACAGUUUGUCUAGAAGGGCUUGAAAACAUUUUGAAGGUAGGAGAAGCUGAUAAGAAUCUCAGCAGUGCUGGAGGUGUGAAUCUUUAUGCACAAAUGAUCGAUGAUGCAGAGGGUCUUGAGAAGAUUGAGAAUUUACAGUCUCAUGAUAACACUGAGAUCUAUGAAAAGGCUGUGAAAGUUCUCGAGACAUAUUGGUUGGAAGAGGAGGAUGAGACAAUGCCACCAGGUGACGCCUCUCAGACAGGGUUUCAUUUUGGAGGGAGUGAGUAUCCUGUCCCUUCAGGGGGAUUCAAUUUCAGCUAGAGGAAUUUUAUCUGGUUUUGUAUUGAACUCCUUACGGAUAUGAUGGAACAAUAGAUGGGUUCCAGGUCAGGCGUCUUGUCAUCAUGUUUGGCUCCUGUCCAUGGUCGGGUGUGGUGUCUGAGGAUGCAGUGUCAAGGGUGCUGAGCAUGCUUGGGUUAAAAACACAGCCAGAUAUUGGUUUUUUUGCAAUGGAGUGGAUGGGCUUCGCUCUUUUAUCAUCUUUCGUUUGGCAGUGUUACGUGGUCCACACUGAAGUAAAGUUCUAAAUUGGCCUGAAGCUUGGUGGAAAUUGGAAAGAUGCACCUAAGCUUGAAGCUUUUGCCAUCAUUGUUUUGAUCCUAUACUACAUGAUAAGAACGUAUGUAUGCUUGCUGGAGAUUAUUUCUUUUCCUAGUCAAUUUGGAGAAAGCCCAAAAGCCAAUGCCUUCUGAUAAUUCGUUUGGGCAUUAGUAUUGGGUGUAUUCAUUGCUGCUGCAUGGAAUUUUCUUCAGAAAUCAAAUGAUGAGGGGUAACAAGUUUGGGAAAUUUCCAAAGAUGGUGAAGUUUUUCUACCAUGGCUUCUGCGAGAUGGUGUGAUCAGCAAGAAGGAACGAGAAACUAAUGGUAAAUCUGGGGCGUAGAAAAGGAAAUGGACCCAAUGGUGGAACGGGGUUCUAUUUUCUAUGGUUUGUGUUUGGAUAGAACUAUUUGUUUGGUUUUUGCGUCAACAGCCAUCCCGAAAGCCUUACAAUUACAAUGCUAAAGAAAAAGCCCAGAAGGGGACAGGUUGGGUCAGCAAGGUUCUAAUUCUUCUAUGUAUUGGGUUUCAUUUAUAGGUAUGUAAGUAUAUUAAUGUAGUAAAAGUACCAUUUUAAUUUCUCCAACUACGAUAAGAAAUGGAUCAUAAAAUAUGCCAAAUGGUUAGGGAUUAACAUGCAAACAAACCAUUUUGACAUGAUUUUAUGCUACCGAGAUAAUACACAGCUUUUCUCCUCUAA